rnacentral:rRNA from 1 species
GACGAACGCUGGCGGCGUGCUUAACACAUGCAAGUCGAACGGUAAGGCCCUUCGGGGUACACGAGUGGCGAACGGGGGAGUAACACGUGGGUGCUCUGCCCUGCACUUCGGGAUAAGCCUGGGAAACUGGGUUUAAUACCGGAUAGGACUCCUGGCUUCUUGGUUGGGGGGGGAAAGCUUUUGCGGUGUGGGAUGGGCCCGCGGCCUAUCAGCUUGUUGGUGGGGUAAUGGCCUACCAAGGCGACGACGGGUAGCCGGCCGGAGAGGGUGACCGGUCACACUGGGACGGAGCUACGGCCCAGACUCCUACGGGAGGCAGCAGUGGGGAAUAUUGCACAAUGGGCGCAAGCCUGAUGCAGCGACGCCGCGUGAGGGAUGACGGCCUUCGGGUUGUAAACCUCUUUCAGCUAUGACGAAGCGCAAGUGACGGUAGUAGCAGAAGAAGGACCGGCCAACUACGUGCCAGCCGCCGCAGUAA